rnacentral:misc_RNA from 1 species
AUCCGAGCUCAAAUUACUGAGUAUAUUCUUGCAUUCUAUUUUAACUAAAUAGGUUAAAAUAUCACACUUUUUAUAACUGAUGUCAAUGGUCCAUCAUUAAUAUAUUAUGUAUGAUACUUGAAUUAAUAACCAUAUUUACAUUUUUAUGCAAGGACAGACUACAUACAAAUAAAACUCUAAUACUGACUUCAUUACAUUUUUUAUAACAAAAAGUAAAGAAAUACCAAAUAGCAUACAUUUUUAGAAAAUAGGGUUAAUGAACAAAAAAAUUCCAAAUUUUUGCUCAAAUAUGCAAUUAUGACCAAUCUUUUAAUUUUAUCAACUUUCAUUUCUAAUUAGUGUUGUAGCCAGGUUUGAAAAAGCGUGUAUUCAAACUCUCAAAUUACUAAAAUGGCAAAUAUUUUAUUAAAAAAUCUUUUCAAGUAAUCAUAUGAUGUGAUAUAUUUGAAUGUUAGACCUUGAAAAGAAUUAUUAGUAAUUAAG